GGGGUAUUAGCUCAGAUGGAAGAGCAUCACACUGGCAGUGUGAGGGUCAUCAGUUCGAUUCUGAUAUAUUCCA
rnacentral:tRNA from 1 species